rnacentral:lncRNA from 1 species
GAUCUUUGCAUAUCUGUCUGAAAAUCUGUAAUGUUGAAGGCCAUUGCUUGGGCUGAAGGUGAUUGGAAGAAGUCAGUCUGUGCAAAAUUCUGCUUGCAAAGAGAUCAUCCUUCCUACUUAACUUGUAGGAGAUCAUUUAGAAGGUUUGCUGGACUUGGCCGCAUGGAUCCUUCAGCUCCCAAGUACUUUCAGAGAGUGAAGUUGGGAGGGGAAGGAAGAAGCACAGACCUGGAAACUCAUUUCAGUUCAGGGUGCGACCUGCUGCCUUUGGUUCCUUCUGGACCUCGGGGGAGACCACCACGGUCCCCCGCGGCACAGAGGCAGGAGACCGCUGCCAGGAACCCCGGCGCAAGCACUGCACACACUCGGAGACGAGAACCCGGCGUUAGCGGUUCCUGAAGCUGUCUCCGAGGAUGGGUCGGGAUCCCGCCACCGGCUUCCCUCACCGCAGGCGCAGGGAGUUCCCGCGCACGGCGCACCUUUGCGGUCGGGUUUCCCGGCUGCCUUCCGGGAACCCCGCCGAGCCCCUUGCUGCUCGGG